rnacentral:lncRNA from 1 species
AAUAAUCUAUCGAAACUCUUAACCAGAUGUCAGAAGCAAUGUUAAAAUUAAGAGGUUGUUUGGUUGGAUAAAGUUGCAAGUUCUCUAUAAUUAUAAUUGUAUGUAAAAAUAAAUGCAAUGUUUCUAGUAGUUGGAACUACACUCAAAUUGAAUGUAGUUUCUCCUGUAAUAGUUAUAGAUUUAGAGUAACUUUAAAUAAAAAAAAAAAGCUUAUCUCGCCAGUUAGUUUUAAAUAGAAAAUAUUUUCUUCUUCUACAUUGGAAGAAAUUUCAUCACCAUGUAUAUAAAAUAACAAAAUUUAUAAAUACAGUUCUCAAUUGCAUGCAAUUAAUCAAAUAAAUUAUUUAUAGUCAUAAUGCUUUUAUAUAUACAGAAAUAACUACUGUAUUUUUAACUAUAUAUAUAUAUAUAUAUGCAUCUCAAACUACACUAUAUUUACAACUACCUCAAACUAAUUAAACGACCUCUAAAAUAUAAAAGCAUGGUGAACGAUUAUUUAGGACAAAACCCCAAGAUGUGUUUGUAAAUUAAAGGAGGAGUGGAGUGUUUUCUACUAUCAGGAUCUAGCUAGCACUCCAUCUCUAACGUUACUCGUACAUCUAAAAAUUAAAUGUAAAUCUUACAAUUAGACAAUUUCUUAGAUUUUCGGUAAAAUAAAAAUUAAGAAUAUGAUAAGAUUAGUAUGAAAAAAAUGAAUUCACAGAAGGAGUCCGGCUACUAUCCUAUUAAUAGGAUUGGAGCUAUUGUCCUAUCAAAUCAUUUUGAAUGAUCGAAACUGCAAAUUGAUAAUCGGCACCGUUGAAAUUGAUCUACACAAUUAGAAAUGUUUAGAAACCAAAUUUUGUAAUAUUUAAAAAUCAUUAUCAAGCUCAUCUUCAGAGUUAAAAAAUGAAUGAUCAUAAAUAAAUAAUCAUUUUAAAAUAGAGGUUAGACUUUCUCAAUUCAUAAUCAGAGUUAUCAAAUAUUAUCUAAAUAGUAUAAAAAAUUUUCUAUCAAAAAUUCAAGCAAUUUGGAUUGCUCUACACCGUUAAACAAGCAAACGGCUCAUAUAGACUGUCAAAAAUUAUCGAUUUUACGAUAUUUUGAUCACCAUGUAAAUAAUUUUUAAAAUUUAUGAAAUUUAGUUUCUAGAUAUUUUAAAUACUCUAGAUCAACUUCAACGGCUCUGAUCAUCAAUUCAAAAUCUCGAUCAUCAAGAACAAUUUGAUAGGACAAGUGCUUCUAUCCUAUUAAUAGGAUAGUAGCUCUAGCCUCCACAGAAGAAUAGGAUAAAAAAUUUGGACUGUAGCACGUCCAAAAGGGCGCCCCACCUUACAUGCAUGGUGGGAACACCCUCCCCAUCUAACAGCCCUCGCCGAUUUGACAUCGCGGCAAAAUUCUUUUUCUAAAAUUUAUAUUCAUAAAAAGUCUAGAAUGUACAGUAUAUAAUACUAAUGUGACGUCUCUAAUAAAUUAGAUUAAUUUCUUUUUUGGCUCACUCAUCGAUUUUAUCAUAAUUAUUAGAAAAAAUAUUUUUAUUAUAUAUUUUUCUUUCAACAAAAAUAUGGUUCACAGAUUAUUGAUAUUGUAGUGUAAGUACUAUAUAACAACAUUCUGUUUCGAUGUCACAGAUAUUGACACGGGACAUGAGAUGCGAUACGAUUCGAACACGGCGACUUAACAGUUUAAAAAAAAUUAGAAAACGUACACGGCAUAAACACCGCUAAUUAUUAUUAAUAUAAUAAUAAUAUAUAUAUAUAUUAUAUAAAAUAUUAUUAUAUUUUUCAUUCGAAUGAAAGUUAGUGAAUUUUUUAUUGAUAAUUUAUAUAUUUUAAGAAGAAAAAUAAAUUAUUUAAAUUGUCAAGCUAAAAUAUUUAUCAACUUGUCUUAUAUAUAUAUAUAUAUAUGCAUAAAAAAAAUAAAAUAAAAAUAUGUAUAUAUUUUUUUUAAUUAUUUAUACUAUAUAUCAGUAUUAAACGCGCGUUAAAAAAAUGUCAACAUCAUCAGAUUUCCAUUGAGAGAGAGAGAGAGAGAGAGAGAGAGAGAGAGAGAGAGAGAGAGAGAGAGAGAGAGAGAGAGAGAGAGAGAGAGAGAGAGAGAGAGGGGGGGCGACGGAGUACUGUCAGGCGCCCCGCAGCGAGCGCAGGUCCCAACAUCGCUGCCGGCUGACGACCGCGCGCACGUAUGCCGUUCCACUCGUCCCAACGCCACCCGCCGACACUUUCCUUUUUCUUUUUCUUUUUUAUUUUUUAUUUUUUUAUUUUUUUAUUUUUAUCCUCACUCUCUCUCCUUUCUCUCUCUCCCCACCCACUUUUUCCGUUCUAAAAUGCAAAACGCAUCAUCAGCUUUAACGCUUUCUCUCUCUCUCUCUCUCUCUCUCUCACCUACAAAUCCGUUCCGGGCCCACGCACAAGCACAAUGCGCACACUCAUUAACAUUUAUUAGGGCAAAAUUUACUGAUGGGCCCUGUUCUUCAUCGCUAUGCUUUUUAUUGCAAGGCUUGUACAUGUAAAAAAAAAAUAUUUUUGGGUCUUCCUAAUUGUACAUUCGUACUACCCCUAUUAUCGAAUUUUAAUAUGGGGCAAACUCACACGCCACGUAUGGAAUGUAAAAAUAAAAUCAAUCAGCCUUUUAUAUCCAGGCAUCUUCAAUGUUGAUGGGGACAGGACUCUUAUACUUUUAUUAGUAUAAAUUUUGAAUCCGACUACUAUGCUAUUAAUAGCACGAAACACUUGGUACUAUCAAAUUUUUCGCCGUUAGAUCUACCCUUUUGAUCAUUUUCACCCGUUAGAUCAUACUAUUUAACCAACCACCCACUCGAUUCUAGGGGACCCACAUCAUCCUAACCGCACAUCUCUUAAUCCAAUGGCUAAAAACUUAGUAGCACCAAUGACUUGGUGCUAUUAAUAGCAUAGUAGCCUAGUUCAUAAAUUUUUUAUACUUAUGAAUUUUUAGCCGUUAGAAACAAAAAUUAAUGUGUAGUUAGGAUAACAGUGAUCCGCUAAGAUUGAAUGAAUUGUUGGUUAAAUAGUAUGAUCUAAUAAAUGAAAAUAAUCAAAAGAAUAUAUUUAACGGUCGAAAUUUUAUGAGUACAAAAGGGUUUAUAUUUAUAACAGUAUGGUACGUAGCCGGGCUCAUUUAUUGGAUGAAACUUUAGUUUUACAUAAUGUGAUGUAGCGUAUUUUAUUUUAUAACUUUGUAAUUUAAAACCGGCCGUCCCUAGAGCAAGUGGCGAAGGACAUCGUGGUUGGUACCCGAGACUCAAGUUCGAAUCCUAGUUGAUUCACAUUUCCAGCUAAGUUUGUUUCUAAAUGAAAUAAACGAAGCGGGUAGUGUGCUACCUAUCUCUAAAAAAAAUAAAAAAAAAAAUUNAAUCAUAUUAUUAUCACUUCACCUCUACAUGACUUUUCGUUUUUGUGUCGACCAAUGACAUUAACAAAUCUAUAUUUACUCUGGCCUAUCACACUCCACAAUAUAAUUAUAAUUAAUAUCCACUAAAUCUAAUCACCUUUUAGCUAAUACUCGAGAAAUAUAUAAAUUAAUUAUAUAUAUAUAUAUAUGCAUCUCAAACUACACUAUAUUUACAACUACCUCAAACUAAUUAAACGACC